rnacentral:rRNA from 1 species
UUGACAUCCAGCGAACUUGGCAGAGAUGCCUUGGUGCCUUCGGGAACGCUGGGACAGGUGCUGCAUGGCUGUCGUCAGCUCGUGUUGUGAAAUGUUGGGUUAAGUCCCGCAACGAGCGCAACCCUUAUCCUUUGUUGCCAGCGAUUCGGUCGGGAACUCAAAGGAGACUGCCGGUGAUAAACCGGAGGAAGGUGGGGAUGACGUCAAGUCAUCAUGGCCCUUACGAGUAGGGCUACACACGUGCUACAAUGGCGCAUACAAAGAGAAGCGACCUCGCGAGAGCAAGCGGACCUCAUAAAGUGCGUCGUAGUCCGGAUCGGAGUCUGCAACUCGACUCCGUGAAGUCGGAAUCGCUAGUAAUCGUGGAUCAGAAUGCCACGGUGAAUACGUUCCCGGGCCUUGUACACACCGCCCGUCACACCAUGGGAGUGGGUUGCAAAAGAAGUAGGUAGCUUAACCUUCGGGAGGGCGCUUACCACUUUGUGAUUCAUGACUGGGGUGAAGUCGUAACAAGGUAAGCGUAGCGAG